ACCCGCGUGAUUUGAGUCCUGAUGUAAAUGUUGUAGACCAUAGACUGCAUCUACGCCACUUUAGCCUGCUCCUCAUCUCGGGAUCAGCUGCAGACUGCCUCCAUCUCGGUGCCGCUAGCGCAGCCCCCGGACAGCCCCGGUUCAGCAGCGUCUGCGGAGGGGCGCUGCCGACGCGGGUCUCCACGGGGAGCCGGCUCCGGCCGGGUGCCCCGUCCCCGGGGUGCCUCAGCGCUCGUGGGACGUGACGAGGCGGAGAGCAGGCUGUGCAGACCCCCGCAGCCUGCUCGGAGGUGCAUUGCCGUUUCCUUGUCUCCUGCUGCCUGCUGUAGUGUCGCUUCCCCAGACUGCACAUGCGCUCUGCUUUUGUGGCUGUCUCGUUUUUGUGUCCACCUUUGGAAGCUGUUUCUGUAUCAGCAGCUCCUUGGUGCCGGUGCUCCCGUGUGCUGGUGCUUCCUAUGGCCUGGGGCAGCUAUGCUUUGCUGUUUCCCACUGAAGCUUGCAGCCAGACGUGUUUUUUCCCCUAAGAAUCGGUAGUUCAAAAUACAGUAUAAAAUGAUGUGUGUGGGGGGACAGGAAGGGUAGUCUCUGGGGACGUGAGUUUUGUCUGCAUGUGCGAAGAAGACAAGCCUUUUGCUCCAUUCGUCAUCCCGUACUGAAAUGUCUGGUCCCCGGAGGAGUCGAGGAUGUUGUGAUCUCAUCGGAGUUGCAAGGUGGGUUUCUCAACAGCCAAAAAAACCCAUUUCAAACAGCACCGGCUGGAGCAGUCUUGGCGCAGAGCGGUGGCCGCAAGCGAGUGCCGGUGCCGUGCACACGCGCCCCACUCGCAGGCAGGGGCAGACCAAAGGCACCCCAGCACCUCCUGCCUAAACACAUCGUGCAAAUUGCCGCUGACACUGAACCGCUGUCCCGGCACCUGCGGCCCCUGAGGUUCAUCCUGCUCUGUGAGAUUUACCCUCGCCGCAGAGCACCCGCCCCAGGGCCCAUCACCGGCACUGCAGCCCCGGGAGCCCGGCGUGGGGGCAGGCGGCGUGGCGGCACCUGCAAUCCCCUCAGCGUGAAUGCGGCAAACGAGAACGUAUACGCUCAUCAAUAAUUACUUUCUUCCAGCUACUCCCUAUCCCUCUGGCACUCUUUUGUGGGCAUUAUCAUUUUGGCUUUCCAAACCACAGCGAGCAGCUUUAAACUUGCCAUUAGCCUCUUGAUCCUGUGAGAGCCCUUGCGCACACCUGAGCGUGUCCAGUUCACUGCAGAGCCGCACUGCGCCUCCAGGUCCCGCGUGGGGUCCCCCACCAGCCUGCUAUCGCCCCGCGCCUCAUCUUCCCCCUCGCAGCGCUGGUGCCAUCGUGCUGGCAGUGCCUUUCUGUGGGAUGUAAAUGAGGCGUCAUUUGUUUUUAUUCUUUAACCUCCCGGCCAGUGAUUGCUAGACACUUCUUUGUGAUUAAGCAUUCUCAUUAACUGGAGUGGAUUCUUUGCAGAACUAAACCUAAUUUGUACGUAAACUGGUGGGUUUGCUUAUUGCCAUUUGGUGACAUUAUACAGUUGAGUGGCAAUGUACCUGCUGCUAGACAGAGGAGAAAUUGGGAGAGAAAAGAUCCCUGAACAAAGAACCUGUGCUUGUGCCUGCAACUAAAAUACAAGUCUUUGCUUUGAAGGAUUGUGAAAUAAGUCUUAAAGCUCUGCCAUCGUCCUGAAGGUUGACAGAGCUGUACAAAUAGGAGGAACGGCAAGCAAGGCAACAGCCAGGGCAGUGGCACACAGCAGCCCCCAUCACCUCAUGGCCUGGUUGCAGCCAGACAACACGUGCUUAGCACAGCCCAACACAGCUCCAGGCACAGAGGAAAUGGGGCUCGGGGCAUCCUUAGGGGAAGGGCAGCGCUUGCUUGGAGGGAGCACCGACUGCCUGGAGAAGAGCUGGAGGCCACACAGAACAUUAGCCGCUAACCCAGCCCUUCUGCCAAGUGAUUAAAGGCAGGGGAAUAUUGAGUAGGAGUAAGUAGGAUAUAUUACCUCCAUGUUUGGCAGCAGCGUACCGGCCAAAUGAGUCCAUUGCCAGCAUCAGCAAUUCAAAAAGGAUAUUGAAAAAUUGGAAGGGAAUCAACAAAGAACUAGUGGGAUGAUAAAAAUUUGGAAAACAUGAGGAAGACUCAAGGAGAGCAACCUGCUUAUCUUAUCACAAAGGUGGCUAAUGCAGUCUGUGAGUAUCUACAGAGGAAACAUAAAUUUAUUAGCAGAUAAUUCUUCAGCCUAACAGAUAAAGUUAUAGCAUCAUCCAUCAGGAAGACCUGAAGAUUGGCACGCCUAAGUUUAAAAAUAAGGUGCAAAUGCCCAACAAUAAAAGCAAUUAAUAAUGAACCGCAUUAAUAGCCAUGUUAGAUUGGAUUUUUUUCUCCUGAAAAAGAUUCUCUGGCUCCAUCAGGGGUUAAUGUGGAAGUCUGAGGCUCAUGUUCUACAAAAUGUCACAGCAAAUGAUCUUGGUGAUCUUUUCUAGCUUUAUCUUUGAUUCUUGUAACCUAUUUUGUUCCUAGUUCAAUAUGGAAAAAAAGAAGGUUUUACUUCAGUACCUUUAAUUUCCACCACAUGCUUUUUGCAUUUAUCUUCCAGUGUUUUCAAUUUCCUGUAAUGAAAUUUUGGCUGGUCUUUACCCCUUUCUGCAUAAACAUUGCCACCACGGCAGAUAAUGUGUAAUGAGUUGUUUCCCAAUUGGGUCGCAACAUGCAAAAGCAUUCCGCAGCAUAGCAGGCAACUGUGACAAGAAAUGAUUAGACUGGGAAUCUGCUUUUAUAUCUUGAGGGAAUGUCACUAAAAUCCUACCCUCUUUAAGAAGAACGGAUGGGCCUUUCUCCAAGGACUUGUGAACUGGCGAUUAGAAAACCAGCUGGUUGAGUGUAUCUCCUAUGACGAGCAAUCAGUAUUUUUCUUGUAGUUGUGUUUAUCGUAGGUGUAUAUUUAGGAUGGCAUAAUUAAAAAAAAAUCUUCGAUUACUAGCUUGUGCAUGAGAUUUUAGUUUUUCAAGGCCUUUAUCUCUCUUUGUUUCAAUAACCACGUCACUACGAGGCUGGAAGGUUCCCAAGGCUGUUUUCUAAAGGCGCAGGAUCAGGCCAGCACAGGGUACUGCAAAGAGCCAAGGCCAAAGUGAGCAGCGGGGUGGCAUCGGGAGAGAGAGGCGCUAAAGAGGGUAAGUGUGGUGAUAGCACCAGCCGUUUUAGAUACCAGCUUGCUCUCUCGAGCACCAGUGCUGCGACCAUUGGAAGCCGUGCGCUGCAGCGGUACCCACGGCUCCGGGAGGGUCGCAGGCACUCAGCAGCUCUGGGGAGGCGCGUGAGGAAACGUGGCAGGACCCGGGCUCAGCGAAGCAGGGCGAUUGCAGAUGGCAUCAAGGACUGGAGGUGACUCAUGUCUAUGGCUGUAUUUCAAAGCAACACUCCCCACUACAGGUCAUCCCUGAGAAAGAAGACUAGCUGUGACUGUCCUGUAGUGCAUAUGGAAAAUGAUCUGGAAUUUUUAACUGGAAUUUAUUUCCCCUGAGCAUUAUUUUGCUCCUGGUGAAGCUCUUGCUAGAUGAAAACCAGUUAAACUAAAAAUCAGCUUAUGAGACUGUUCUAUUUAGUCUUAUAAAUUUCUAGCUGGCUGCAUCUCUCCAAGUUGUUAACCACCCCCGUUUGGUGAGCUCAAAGGACAUUAAAAUAGCAUGAAUUCAACAAACAUCGAUAGAUAAUAUUUGAGCAAUACUUGUUUGCUGCCAAAGUCUUGAAGACAGCUGGAGCUGUAAACCCCAGGAAGUCGCAGCUAAACCCCUUGGACCAAGGUUCAACCGAGGAAAUGUACCAGCUUUUGACAGCAGCAGCUUCCUCCAUAAAUACAAAAACAGUAUCUGCUUUGUUUUGCUUUGUUUAGUUUCAGGUCAAUAAUGGGCUCACUCAAAUUUGGGAAACUGAAUUGUGAUUUUAAAAAAUGCAGGGAAACCUGUUUAUUUUCUAGUGUCGUUAUAAAAACAAUGUGUGAGA